rnacentral:rRNA from 1 species
AGAGUUUGAUCAUGGCUCAGGAUGAACGCUAGCGGCAGGCUUAAUACAUGCAAGUCGUGGGGCAGCGCGGGUAGCAAUACCUGGCGGCGACCGGCAAACGGGUGCGGAACACGUACGCAACCUUCCUUUAAGUGAGGAAUAGCCCAGGGAAACUUGGAUUAAUACCUCGUAACAUUAUGAGAUGGCAUCAUCUUAUAAUUAUAGCUACGGCGCUUAAAGAUGGGCGUGCGGCUGAUUAGGUAGUUGGCGGGGUAAUAGCCCACCAAGCCUACGAUCAGUAACUGGUGUGAGAGCACGACCAGUCACACGGGCACUGAGACACGGGCCCGACUCCUACGGGAGGCAGCAGUAAGGAAUAUUGGUCAAUGGACGCAAGUCUGAACCAGCCAUGCCGCGUGGAGGAUGAAGGCCCUCUGGGUUGUAAACUUCUUUUAUUUGGGAAGAAACCCAUCUUUUCUAAGGUGGUUGACGGUACCAGAUGAAUAAGCACCGGCUAACUCCGUGCCAGCAGCCGCGGUAAUACGGAGGGUGCAAGCGUUAUCCGGAUUCACUGGGUUUAAAGGGUGCGUAGGUGGGCAGGUAAGUCAGUGGUGAAAUCUCUGGGCUUAACCCAGAAACUGCCGUUGAUACUAUCUGUCUUGAAUAUAGUGGAGGUGAGCGGAAUAUGUCAUGUAGCGGUGAAAUGCUUAGAUAUGACAUAGAACACCCAUUGCGAAGGCAGCUCGCUACACUAUUAUUGACACUGAGGCACGAAAGCGUGGGGAUCAAACAGGAUUAGAUACCCUAGUAGUCC